rfam:Daphnia pulex DAPPTscaffold_4119_Cont15384, whole genome shotgun sequence.
ACCCGCGUAGCUCAGUCGGUAGAGCGUUAGCCUUUUAAGUUAAUGGUCGAGGGUUCGAGCCCCUUCGCGGGUG